rnacentral:rRNA from 1 species
GACGAACGCUGGCGGCGUGCCUAAUACAUGCAAGUAGGACGCAGUUGCGAACGUGUGAGUAACGCGUAGGUAACUACCUGUUAGAGGGGGAUAACUAUUGGAAACGAUAGCUAAUACCGCAUACUAGUAGAUGGACCUGCGUUGUAUUAGCUAGUAGGUAGGGUAAUGGCCUACCUAGGCAACGAUACAUAGCCGAACUGAGAGGGUGAACGGGCACACUGGGACUGAGAAACGGCCCAGACUCCUAAGGGAGGCAGCAGUAGGGAAUCAUCGGAAAGUGGGGGAAACCUGAACGAGCAAAGCCGCGUGAGUGAAGAAGGUUUUCGGGUCGUAAAGCUCUGUUGUGAAGGAAGCGGUACUUAAACAGAAAGGAACGGCUAACUACGUGCCAGCAGCCGCGGUAAUAC